rnacentral:rRNA from 1 species
AUUAAUUCGAUGCAACGCGAAGAACCUUACCUGGGUUUGACAUAUGCCGGAAAGCUGCAGAGAUGUAGUCCCCGCAAGGUCGGUAUACAGGUGGUGCAUGGCUGUCGUCAGCUCGUGUCGUGAGAUGUUGGGUUAAGUCCCGCAACGAGCGCAACCCUCGUUCUAUGUUGCCAGCACGUAAUGGUGGGGACUCAUAGGAGACUGCCGGGGUCAACUCGGAGGAAGGUGGGGAUGACGCCAAGUCAUCAUGCCCCUUAAGUCCAGGGCUUCACGCAUGCUACAAUGGCUGGUACAAAGGGCUGCGAUACCGCAAGGUGGAGCGAAUCCCAAAAAGCCAGUCUCAGUUCGGAUUGGGGUCUGCAACUCGACCCCAUGAAGUCGGAGUCGCUAGUAAUCGCAGAUCAGCAACGCUG